rnacentral:lncRNA from 1 species
UGAAAUUUCUCUGAAGUUAUAUGAUUCAGAAGCAUCUAGAUUUUAAUAUUUCAUUAUUACAUUUUUUUAUAAGGGAAAAGUGCUUGGCAAGGCUGACUAUUAGCCCUGCAUCUCCUGAGAUAACAUAGUUUCAGUAUGAGCAAGCCUCACUCCUAUAAGUACUGUUUACGGAUGAAGGUGAGGUUUAGGGCAUUGUGAAAUACCACGUCCAGUGUUGGUUCACAAUUUCAACACGUUGCAUUUCUGAUGUAAUAUCACACCAUUGGUGUACAGUUUGGCUCCAAAAAAAAAAAAUGGAGUACUCUACAUUGGAGGGAUAGCAAGAUUUUUUUCCAUGGCUGACAGCGCUCUUUUCAAGUGGACUUCAGCCCCAGUAAACUUGGCUGAAGUCUUAUCUUUCAAACAGCUAUUUCCAGCUAUUUUCCAUGUUUUAUCCAACAUCAAGAAAGGUCUUCACUGCUCCACUAUCACUGUUCUUGUGAGAAGCAGCUCCCAAGAGGUUCGACCAGCAA